AUCCAGUUGACGUGUCCCAAAUAGGACAAAACGUGCGUCCCGGAN
rnacentral:hammerhead_ribozyme from 1 species